CCGGCGGAAGAAGCAUUGUCAAGGAACUCGGCAAAAUGACCCCCGUAACUUCGGGAGAAGGGGUGCCACUGGAAAGUGGCCGCAGAGAAUAGGCUCAAGCAACUGUUUAGCAAAAACACAGGUCUAUGCGAAACCGUAAGGUGAGGUAUAUGGGCUGACGCCUGCCCGGUGCUGGAAGGUUAAGAGGGAGAGGUUAGCGUAAGCGAAGCUUUGAAUUUAAGCCCCAGUAAACGGCGGCCGUAACAAUAACGGUCCUAAGGUAGCGAAAUUCCUUGUCGGGUAAGUUCCGACCCGCACGAAAGGCGUAAUGAUUUGAGCGCUGUCUCGACAAUGCAUCCGGUGAAAUUGAAGUACCAGUGAAGAUGCUGGUUACCUGCGCCAGGACGGAAAGACCCCAUGGAGCUUUACUCCAGUUUGGUACUGGGAUCCGGUACUGCAUGUACAGGAUAGGUGGGAGGCUGAGAAGUAGUAACGCCAGUUAUUACGGAGCCGCUGUUGGGGAUACCACCCUUGCAGUAUUGGGUUUCUAACCAGCCGCCGU
rnacentral:rRNA from 1 species